UUUAUGUUCAUCUUUUCUAUCCCAAUUUUUUCAGAAAAAGUUACUCAAUAGUUGUUCAUCUUCUAGGAAGGCCUUGCAUUACCAAACGACCCGACCCCCUCGCGUUUCUUCUUCACACCAGCUAACCCAGAAAUCUCGGUGAACCAGCUGUCCUAAGAGAAAACUGAAAUCCAGCAAAAGUCGCGUCCAACAGUACGCCCUCUCUUUCAUUUUUCUCAAAUUCGGCCGGCUCCAGCUCCAAACGGCGCCAACAGUACGCCUGCAAUAACCGCGUCCCGUCCCCUUUUCUCCCCCUUUUGCGAAGUUUUCAGAUAAGGGAAUGACUCCCCUUUCCUUUUACUGUUGAUCUCGAAAAGGAGCAAAGAAAAAAUUCAAUCUCCUCUUUAAAAAAGUCCAACGGAUUUCCCCCAUCAAAUUUGAUCUCAAUUUUCUGUAAAUAGUCUCUUCUUCACUGUGCUGAGGAAGGGGGCAAGCAUAGUAAGAGGUUUUUUGUUUUUAGUGUUUGAAUUCCUGAGCAAUAGUCAUUUCUACACUUCAAAAUUUUCGAAUUUUCUUAGCUUGCCGUUAGUAGUUGAAGGGAGUGGUGGAAUUACUCUUCUCGUCGUCCUAGUAUCGUUGCUCCGAGAAAGGUGAUGUCCUUAUUCCUACCUCUCGUUUUCCUUUCAAAUGAUGUAUGUUCUAUUUUGUUUUCUGCCUAAAGGAUUAUUCUUUUGGACAGUUCAUUGUUGGUUUGUUUUUAGAUGAUAUAGUAUUUUGAGUUGUUUGUUGACAAAAUAUUACUAAUUAAGAUUGACUUUUUUCUUAUAUUGCUAUAGCUCAUGUAUUGUGAUUUGAAGCUAGUUCAUCAAGCUAUUUCUCACUGAUUGUUUCACAGUUCAUUCUUUCUUAAAAACAAAAAAAUAAAACAAAAUUGAACUUUGUGGCUUUGUGAUUUAAGCUUUAUCCUUUUUUCUUGUUGGCAUGAUCAAUAGUUCUUGUCGUCUUAGCAAUCAAAUGUAGCUAAAAUAGUGUUAAUCCUUCCAAAUGGUUAGUCUCAUAGUUCUGGUUUUUUCUUGGUUUAAACUCGUUUUGGUCUUAACAGGUUGCUAUCAUGUUUUUGUUGUACGCCUAAAGCUGCCGAGUCAAACAUAUUGUCGUGCUUGACUUGUCCUACCCAAACAUCCGUCCCUCUGUUUUUUGUUGUGGGCUGUUACUUGUUAUUGUCUUUAAAUCAUUGAAAUCUCAGAAUCCGCAAAAGUGGCAGUUGUAUGUCGUUUAUUAUGUUUUAUAGAUUUGAUGAUCACCUUCCCUCUUCAUCUAAGUCUUGUUACCAUCUUAUGGUCCAAUGUGCCAUGUUAGAAUUGAGUUUAUGUCUCUAUUUCAUUUAGAUUCUCGUCAAAAAUAUUUGCUACUAGUAGUGGACUUAAGGCCAAGGAAGAGAUUUUGCUGCCUUCCAAACCUUGGCUUGUUCCAGCACUCGCUUUCCUUUAACCAAAUGCCCAUCUGUGAGCUUUUGAAUUAGACGUCUAGCAUUUGGUUUAAUUUAGAUUAUUAGAUUGCCAAAUGCGAUAUUUGUUUAAAUAUGUGCUAAGUCUUUAUCAAUCCAGGUGUCUGAGCUUUACUUGAACUAUGUAUCUGAUUUGUUUUCUAGAAUAUGCAAUUUUUUACACCUACUGGUGUAUCUCUUUUGUGUUAUUAGAAAUCUGCAAAUUACCAUUUGUUUUAUUUUUCGUGCGUACAUGUAUGUGACUUCAAAUUUCUCUAGGCUUAGACUUUGAUAGUUUAGUGUUAUAAAUUCAUUUCUUCCAUCCAUGUUAUAAUGUUCUCCAUGUUUAGUUUCUUAGUACUGUUAAAAAUAAAAGGAACCACAAUUGUUUGUUUGAUACAAUAGCUGAUCAUUUCUUUUUCAAAGGCCAUGGAUGAAUUAGUCAACACUGACUUCGUUCAGUUAUAUAUGCAAGCAUGCUUAGUUUCUUAGUACUGUUAAAAUUAGAAGGAACCAUAAUUGUUUGUUUGAUACAAUAGCUAUUCAUUUCUUUUUCAAAGGCCAUGGAUGAAUUAGUCAACAGUGACUUUGUUCAAUGAUAUAGCAAGCAUGUUGUCAGUGUUUCCACGAAAUGCAAGAAAUGUUCUUUUCAUUUUUUGAAUACCAUCACUGUUGUUCCCUCUCUUCUUUGAUGUUGUCAUAAUUUGAAAAAUGUCAUAUUGCAUAUUUAUCACAGCCGCAAACAUCAAUCUUUGUCCUUCUUUUCUUGCAUGAAUUCCCUCGGUUUGAGUCCAUUGGACUCCCUUUGUUACUCUCCUUGCAUCUCGGGUUGGGUAGAAACCCAAUGAUUCCUCCAUCGAGUCAGCAACCUUUCUAUAUGAGCGUGGAAAUGAAAACAGGUUUGGGAAGUCCAAAAUGGGCAGUACGCAUGCUAUAUACAUCAGUAUACACUAGUAUACACCACGGAAAUAUUGAUAUGCAGGUCAAAAUGCAACAAAUACUAGUAAAAAACGAAGAUACAGGUUGGAGGCGUCAAGGUGGACUGUAUACAGUCGAUAUAUGGGUUGGUAUGUAGGUCAAAAUGCAACAAAUACUAGGUAGAAACGAAGAUACUGGGUGGAGGCAUCAAGGUGGACUGUAUACAGUCGAUGUAUGGGUUAAUAUGUAGGAAAUGAUGCUGAUAUGCGAGCUGUAUACACUGAUAUACAGUUUGUGUAUACAAAAAUGGGUUUUGGGUUAAACCCGAAAAGUAGUAGCAAAUUUGGCCAAGAAAAGCCCAAAUUCAUCUUCUCCUUUAUUUCUCUUAGCUUACUUAAUUGUGACUAUUUAUUGCUUUGUGUUUUUGGUUAACUCUAACUUUAAAUAACUUACUUAAAUUUUUAAAAGAUGAACUGUAUUUUUUAUGUUGGUUUAUUUUGAUAUAGUUUACUUUUAUCAACUCUUACAUUUUUAUUCAAUAUAUUUAACCAAAACCUUUUAUUUAUUUUUCAAAUAAUUUAAAAUGAUUUUCAUGCUCAAAUUAACUAGUUUAAAUUAUUUUUUUACAAAUGAGUCAAGUAAAUUUAAUAAAUUUUAGUUUUAUUAAAAUUCUAGUCACUUGCAUUUCAAUUCAAAUGCUUCAACUAAGUACCAAUUUUAUAUUCUUUUAACUAUUUUCUCAAGUUAAUCAAAUAUUUUAAAUUAAUAUAAUUAUGUUCGUAUCAAUCAUUUUCCUAAAAAAUAGUCAAAAAAAUUUUAACCUAAGUCGUACGAUAAUUGCAUGUUAGCGGACGUUUCAAAUACCUUAAAAACCUUCUUGAAGCGUAAAUAAAAAUCUCUUACCCAUUUUCUCUAAAUUUAUUAAGAUUUAGUCUGUUAAAAUCUUUUUAAGUUAAGUUUUCUUAAUUUCUUUUUUUAAAAAAAAUAAGUGGGGAUCUGCUCGUGGAAUAGAAAAAGUUUGUUGCAUCAACAAAGUGUAUUAGUCAAAAAGGCUUACUUAAGCUAAUCGAUGUGUAUUCCUAGGCUGUGAAAGAGAGGGCGGACCAUUGAAUUAGAACAUCCAUAUCUUGUUCUAAAAGUUGUCUUUGAAAUAUUAUAUUCUCUAACUUUCAACUGAUGGUAGCAUGAUCUAAGAUCAAUUUUUGAGAAGUAGGAAGCAAAGGUGGUCGAAAAGACCAUCAAUCCUUCGAAUAUGAUAUUUAUUCUUGAUAAACCUUGUUCAAUUGGUGGUAAUCUAUACACAUUCUAAGGGAACCAUCUUUUUUUUCUCACAAUUAAGACAGGAGCACCCCAAGGUGAGACACUUGGUCGAAUGAAACCCUUGUCUAACAAAUCUUUCAACUGUUCUUUCAACUCUUUCAAAUCUGAUGGUGCCAUUAUAUAUGGCGGAAUAGAGAUAGGACGAAUAUAUGGAAUAAUGUCUGUCGAAGUCUAUUUAUCUCUUCAGGAGGGACUUCGGGUAGAUCAUCAAGAAAGACUUAUGAAAACUCUUUUAUUAUAGAAAUUGACUAAAUGGGAGGUACCUCAACACUUGAGUCAUUACUCAGACUAAGUGAUAAAUACAACACUUAAAAACUAACUUUCUUUCCUUGAGGUACGAAAUGGAAUGACCCAUAGGCACUGCUGAAAUGAUUUUCCACUCUAUAACUGGUUCACUAGAAAACUGGAGCUUGACUACUUGAGUGCUUAUCUAUUGAUGCAUAAUAGGCAUUAUGUCAGUCCAUACCUAGAAUGACAUCAAACUCUACCAUGUCUAACUAUACUAAGUCAUCCAUGAUAUUCUUGUGAUUUAUGAGAAAUGGUACAAUUAUGAUUGACUCUUUCAGCUAGAAAAGAAUUCUCAAGAUAAGUAAAAACACUAAAGGGAUCAUAAAGUUACUCAUGAAAAACAUCAAAACUGAAGACUUGGAUCAUGUGACAAUAUCUGGGGAAUCCUAUUGCUCUCAGUGACUAGUGAUAGCAUAAAAAUGGUUUCCUUCUCCGUCUACACCUGAAGUAGCUUAUCCAGAUGCAACUCUUAUUUGGUGAAGAAACUGAAGUGUACUGGGUUGUAUUGCCCUCUUUAUCAUUUCUUUGUCUGUACUUAGGAAAUUCUCUUAUAAAAUCCCAAUUUUGGCUACAUUUUAAGCAAUCAAUGAAUCCAUCACGACACACCCCUGAAUGACUUCUACCACAGUGGGAACAUGCAAGAGUCUAAGUACCACCUUGCAGUAAGCUGGUCUAGAUCUAUCAAUUUUGAGAAUCUUGAGUAUUGUACACACAAUGGUUCCUUGAUGCAGGUGCACUAGAAGAUGAAAAAAUAGAUCCUUUCAAUUUACGUUAGAAAGAAGACCAGUUCACGUACCUUUUUUUUUUACCCAAACUCAUUCCUUGAUGUGUUAUCCCUCAGCUUGUCCUCCUCAACUUGUUGAACAUGGAUCAUUAGCCUUGCUAUGCUCAUGACAGCUACUAGUAUGGUUGUCCUACUUUCCUUGCUUGAUAGACGAGGCAACCCAAUAACAACAAAGCUCAUUUUAGUCCUCAUGUCGACAACAAUAUCUUAGUUUUUCUUAGAUCAUAUAAAAAAGAAACGCCUCAAAAAGGCGGCCUCAACAAUUACCAGCUCAGAAACGCCUCUAACGCACGAAAAGAGUGUGAAAAAAGUGAGAUAGUUCUUAUAUGUUGCAGCCUCCUUGUUAGGACCCUCAAAACGAUCUAGGAUAAUCUAGAGUUCCAGAUGUGCCUUAAGAGUUUAUAACUCCUUUACAAGGCGUGUAACAGCUUGUAAUGGUUGGUUUGAUGAGGUUUGAGGUCCAACGUCAAAGAACGACCAAGACGUCUGAAAACUAGUCGUUUGUAUAGCUAGUGUGCCUUUGUAUGUUUGUCUUGUGUUGGAGUGUUGUUUGAAGUCUAAAAUGAUAGGGGGUAUCCUAAUAAGCAUAUGGUUGUGUUUAGGAUCGAAACGUUUGGGCACAACUCCCCAAGAACCACCCUCACAGUCCUUGGGGAGGACCCAAAGGUUGGCAAAAAUCGGCCAAGGAAAUGUCACCACGACUAUGAUCGAUGACUAGUGGUUUGAAUGAUGCCCUGUCGUUAGGGGGGCGUCUCCACUUAGUUGGGAGCUUAGCCCCCAAAUGAGGGAAUUUUUAUCACAAACGAUGAAGUGCAGGAUUGUAACACUUCGGAAGUCUAAGACGUAUUCUAGAGCCUAACAUGAGUGUCACAGGGUUUAGAUAUUGUUUUAAGGUUAAUUUUAAUGUACAUAAAUCAUUUAGGAAGUCUAGGAAUCAAAACGUCGAAGAAUGUCCAUGACGUCUGGAAACUAGUUCAAUGAGGUGUUAGUGUGCCUUAUCAUAUUUGACAUGCUUUUUGGAGUCAAAAAAUGAUGAAAAUUGGUGGAAGGGUAUCUAAUACAUGUUAGAGUUAGUUCAUAGUCAAAAUGUUUGGGCACAACUCCCCAAGGACCAAUCAAGGGCCCUUGAGGAGAACCCUUGCGAUUUGGCAAGAGGCUGCCAAAAGGCAGUGUUCAUAGACGGUUGUCAUCAACGAAUCGUGUGUCAAUCAUCUGGGGGUCGAUUGCCUAUGUUGACGGACACUUAGAAAAAUUGUCUAAGGCCUGUUUUGGACUAGUCUCUGAACUCAACAACGAACCAACAUGACAGUUGGUCCUUGGCCUGUCGAUUGACAAAUAGGGCAUCGGUCGGGGUUCCGUCUGUGAGGUUUGUGUUUUGCUGCACGUUUUGACUUGAUUCAUUUAAUUAGUUGGCUUAGUUAGGAGGUUAAUUAGGGGUUAGGGGAGGUCUAAUUAAAUUUGUUAAUGACCUAUAUAAAGACCCUAAGAUAAUUAGACUAACCUAAGAUCUCAUAAUUCUCAAACCCAAAACUCUCUUCUUUCUCUCUCCCAAACAAACCCCAUUGAAUACCAAGUUAGAGGUGGGUUCAAGGGCUGCAAAGGGUCAAGUUUCUCCAUCAAUCUUCAUCAAAAACUAAGGUAUGAGAUUCCUUUCACCUUUGAGACUUCUUUCCUCAAAGGGUUCCAUCAAAUUGAUUUCCAAAAUAUGACGGAUCCCCACUUGCCUAAGGUAGGGUCCUUCUUGAGACAUCACAUGGGGUUUCCAAUAACUACUCCUAUGCGGACACAUAGUUAAGGUAUAAGGAGAUUUCUUCUAAGUGACUCAUUUAUCUUCUAACGAGGAGCAUUUAUAACAACCCAAAAAAAUGAAAUGGGUCAAACUAGAGCUUAACAUGUGUUCCAUGAGUUAACAGUGUAUUAAAAUAUUUAAUUUUAGCAUUAGAAGUUAGUUCGUAAAGUUUGGGAUCAUUUGGAAGUCAAACGCCUAAGACGUUCGAAAACUAGUUGAAGUUGAACUAGUGUGUCGUCGUGUUUUUGGUGAAGUUUUGGGGGAUGGUUUGAGAGUGAUAUUGAGUGUCAAUGGUUCCUAUGUAUAGAGGGAUGUAACAAGUGUCAAAACGUCCGAGUACAACUCCUCGGGGACCACUCAAAGGGCCCCCAAGGAGGACCCAAACAUGGGUCAAGAUGCUGCCCAAGGCAGCGUACAGGGGCAGGAUAUGAAGCCCAACCUUGCGACGUUCCCUUGACACGAGGUCUACUUCCUCAGAAUUUUUGAAAGGCAAAAAUCAAGAUCUUGCCUCGCGAUGCGCAGCCAAGUCCCAGAUUUGGCCGCGACGUUUUUAAGUAAAAUUUCAAGUUUGGAAAGGGUCCAAAUGGUGUGGGUGUAUUUUGGGGACUUUGGGGAUCAUUUGUGUACUGAUUUAGGCAAUUUUAAACCUAAUUUCACCUAUCAUUUCCAACCCUAAAGAUCAAAUUAAAUUUCUCCAAAACCUUCUCUCCAAAAACCUCCAUUGAAGAAGCUUCAAGCUCCAAGGAAGAGGACCAACUUCUUCACGUUUUCUUCACCAAAUUUUUGUGGGUUUAUUCAUAUUAAGGUAUAGUAGUCAUCCUUGAACCUUCUUUCAUUCAAGGAGCCACUUCAAAGAGAUUUCAAAAAGGAUUUCAACUUGAAACUUCUUUAUUCCUUGACUCUAAGUAUGGGUCUUUGCAUGAAAAUGUUUUAUUGAUUAAAAUGAGUUUUCCUAGUUAUAAAUGAUGAUUUUAAUGAGAAAACCCCAAUGGAAUCAUGUCUGGAUUAUGAAAUGGGUUCUAUGAUCAUGAGUAGAUAAUGUUAAAGUUAUUGUUUCUUGGUGUUUUUAUUGAGUUUUAGAUGUUGCCCUAAAGGGGGCUAUUUUAUGAUGGAUUAUCGGAUAAAUUGUGUAUAGGUGGUGAAAUCUUGGAUGAAUGGUAAGUUGGCUAUGCUUUUUAAUCCUUAUUUUUUAAUUAACUCUUGAGUGGUAUGGUCAAACUUUGGAGGUGGUGUUUACUUGAAAUAUAUGAAGUUAUAUGUGUAUUGUGAGAAUGACCUUGGAAGCAUCAUAUGUGAAGUGAAAUGAUAAUUUUGAUAUGUAUAUGUAUGAUGAUGUGUAAAUUAUGAUAAAUGUGAGUUGAGCAUGUCUAGAAUUCAAUGUUAUGAAUAGUGGUCAUUAUGUGAAAGAUGUGCUCACAUGUGGUCACAGACACACUUGAAUGCAUGAAUAAAGUCAAUGAAUGAAAAUGGGGGAUUGUAGGGUGAACACUCUUUGUGAGUAGAGAUGAAGAGUCUAGACCAUCCCUACUAUUCCUAAGUAUGAAAAAGGGGUAUUUUGGGGUGAACACUCUUUGUGAGUAGAGAUGAAGUGUUUAGUAGAAACCUCAUUAUUCCUAAUGAACUUUCCAAGAUAGGUCGGAGGUUGGAUACCCUUCGUGAGUUGAAAUGGGGUGUUCAAUAGUUAUCUCCUAACCUAUAGUCAAUGAAUGUUUAAGACUCCAUGGGGAGUUAUGCUUAGCACCGAGAGUAUUUGAAGAAGGGGUGGGUACACUUCGUGAGUAAAGAGGUUCUGUUCAAUGUACCUCUUGAUAUAUGUGCUUCUCAUUAGUAGAGAGUGAGUUACCUAGUAACAAUCUUUUUAUACCUUAAAUAUGUGUCUGCGCAGGUGUAGGUAUUGGAGAACCCAUGUAAAAGCUAAAGAAUAUGACCCUGCCUUAGGCAAGUAGGGAUCCCUCAUCCGAUUAGGAUAUACCGGGAUUCCAUGUCAAGCUCUCAUCGUCUAUGUCGGUUAAAGCUAUCCCCCACAAAUGUAUCCAAAUGAACUAAGUCUUCUUAAGGGUGUACUACUUAGGGUAGAAGGUGGAAUGAGACGCUACAUAUCCAUUGCACAAGUAUGCAUUUGGAGGGAGUCUUGGUAUGUCCUUAUAUGAAAUGUAUGAAUGGGUCAUGAUAUGAUGUAAAUGAAAGUAAUGUGACUUAUGUUAAAUGUUAAGAAAGCAUGUUGAUGUUAAGACUUGUAUGAUGAAAGCUUAGUAUGUGAUGAAUGUGAUGUGCCUAUUCUAAGGUUAUUCCUAAGGAGCAUUAAGUGGAAGUGGUAGUAUGGGAUGAUGCUUUCACAUUGCACCAAGUGUAAAUUGGGGGUUUCCUUGGAAGAUGGUUCUUAUGUGAAGUUCCUAAGUGUAUGUAUGUUUCUAUAGUGCCUUUAGUAUUGAAUGUUGACUUGCUAAGUGAAAUGAAGUAUGAUUGUCCUUGGUAGUCUUAAGGAUCACUUGGGUGUGUGGUGAAGAGAUUGUAUGAGCAAUCUCCUCAUGUCUUAACUAAGCGGGUCUUAGGAUAACUUGGGAUAGGAAGAAUUAUGUGUUAAGUGGGUUCACUGUAAGUAUGCUUUUAUGUUGAGAAAAAUGGAUGUUUUACUUUAUGUGCUAAUGAUGGUUUUAAAUGAUGUCUUGUAACUUAAUUCAUGAAGCUUUUUACCAAAAUAGCAUGACUUGUAUGUUUAUACUAAAUGUCCCUUUUUGCAUGAUUUUUCAUAUGUCAUACUUAGUAAAUUGUUUGUACUAACCCCAUACUCUUCUAUACUUUAUAGGUUGGAGCCGAGUUGAAGGGUAGAAGGCAAGUUUGGGAAUCGACUCUCUCAAGACUAAAUAUGUCCUCAUAUAUUCGAAGGCAUAGUCUUUGUUUCUUUAGUUUCUUCUUUUAAGGCUUGUUAAGAUUUAUUAUGUAUUUAUUUCAAUGUGAAAAGGUUGUGUCCCUAAGAUAUUUAUGUCUUGUCUUUAAGUUGGCUUGUGAUGACGAGACAUAUUUCUUAGCUUUUAUAAAAAAAGUUUCUUAUUAUUAUUGUUGUGAAAAUUUUAGAUUUCUGCAUUACUUUUCAUGUCUUAUGUAAUGAAUGAUAGCGAAGAGGCUUGUGCAAGACCAUUGAAAGGCUGAUCACGCCUUGUUUCGACCUAAAGGUUGUCCUAACUUCUAGUGUGUACUUGGAGGUUUUUACAACACCCAUCUCAAGAGGUAUAUUGGAUACAUCAUCUCUAAUCACGAAGUGUAACCACCCCUUCUUCAAAUCCUCUCGGUGGUAAGCAUAACUCCCCCACGGAAUCUUAAACAUUCAUUACUAAAGGUUAAGGGUAACUAUUGGACACCAAAUCUGAACUCACGAAGGGUAUCCAUCCUCCAACCUUAUUUAGAAAGCUCUUGGGAAUAGUAGGGGUUGCUACUAAACACUUGAUCUCAACUCACGAAGAGUGUCCACCCCAAAACUCCUAUUUUCAUACUAUAGGGAUAGUAGGGAUGGUCUAGACACUUAAUCUCUACUUACAAAGAGUGUCCACCCUAAAAUCCCUCAUUCACAUUAAUUAACUUCAUUCAUUCAUUCAAAGUGUGUGUGUGUGUGUGAAUACAUGUGAGCACAUCAUCCACAUAAUCACCAUUUUCAUAGUAUUGACUCCUAAACAUGCUCAUACCUCCCUUCAUCAUAUAUCACACACUAUCAUGCUUCACAUAUGCAUAUACUUCAUUCAGACAUAAUCUCUACAAACUAUACAUUCAAGUUUCAUAAAGCAAAUCAACAAGAACAUCAUCACUAUCACUUUGCUUUACAUAUUAAGCCUUCAAGGCCAUACUCACACUACACAUAUAAAUACAUAUUCAUAUACUCCAAAUAAACACCGCCACCAAAGGUGGAUCAUACCACUC
rnacentral:lncRNA from 1 species